GAGUGAACGCUGGCGGUAGGCCUAACACAUGCAAGUCGAACGGCAGCACAGGAGAGCUUGCUCUCAUGGGUGGCGAGUGGCGGACGGGUGAGGAAUACAUCGGAAUCUACCUUUUCGUGGGGGAUAACGUAGGGAAACUUACGCUAAUACCGCAUACGACCUUCGGGUGAAAGCAGGGGACCUUCGGGCCUUGCGCGGAUAGAUGAGCCGAUGUCGGAUUAGCUAGUUGGCGGGGUAAAGGCCCACCAAGGCGACGAUCCGUAGCUGGUCUGAGAGGAUGAUCAGCCACACUGGAACUGAGACACGGUCCAGACUCCUACGGGAGGCAGCAGUGGGGAAUAUUGGACAAUGGGCGCAAGCCUGAUCCAGCCAUACCGCGUGGGUGAAGAAGGCCUUCGGGUUGUAAAGCCCUUUUGUUGGGAAAGAAAAGCAGUCGGCUAAUACCCGGUUG
rnacentral:rRNA from 1 species